UCCCAACAAAAAUAGGGGGGUUGAUUCCGGAUGAAACAGGUUUGGACCCCUGUUCCACUGUAAGAUGCACAGCUACCACAACCUGUGUCAUCAUCCAAGUCAAGUGCUUCACAUUCCCUUGUCCUGGGCAGGCUCGAUGUUCUCUGAAUUCAUGGACAUCGUAAAGGAUGAAGUGCUGACCUCCUGAUUCCCUUGAACUACUACCUAAAAAAAUGUAAUUUUGAAAAUAUAAAACUAUCCAUUAUAUUAUGAUGAUUAUAGUGAUGAAGUAUAGUGGUGUGCAGACGGCGAGAACAAUAUUCGAAAAAUGAUGAUUACGUAACGUUACUUUUACGUAAUCGUGGGAUGACCUUGCUUUUCGGGAGAAAGCGCUAAUAGUGCCGUAAGAAAUUUCUUAGCGAGCACAAAUUUUCAUGGAAAUUUCAGGACAAUUUUUAGAAUUCCUACAGUACUUUUCCCUAAAAAUCAAGAUCGCCCCACAUUAAUGUAAAAGUUUCGUAAUUUUUGAGUAUUGUUAUUUCAGCGUGGAGGAUCUUUUUCUAGACAUUGAAGUCAUUGGAAAUUAUAACAAUGUUAAAACUCAAUAUGAUGUAGUCAAGAUAUUUACUUAAAAACGAGAUCCUGAUAUAACAUUCACUCAAUUUGCAUUAUUAAUUCAGUGUCGGUGGCAGAAUAGUUUGUAACACACAUAUGUAUGACUUGCAUUGAUGUCAGCAUUUACUUCCAGCAGCAGAUGAUAUAGUUAUUAUGGUGAAGAAGCUUCAAUACACAAAAAUUUAAUUCGUAUUCUUGUGGUAAUAAGAAAAGGUAAUAGAUUGGUUAUCAAGAGCUUUUAAGACGCUAAUGUGACAAAAUAUCCAAUUUAAUCUCAAUUUAGAUGGGGAAAUUCGAUAUCGUUACCAGUACUUACUAGUUCCUGUAAUUGGUUGUCAUUUACUCUUGGGCUUCGAUUUUUUUUUAUUUCAGAAGUUCUCCUAUAUCGGAGUUUUUUUAUUCUUUAGAAGAACAUGAUUAGUAUUUUAUCAUUUCGAAGAGGACUUUUCUUUCAUCGAAUAUGAAAUAUUAUUGUCCGAAUCUGCUUUAGUUAAAGUCAAGUUCAAAAGCCGAGACAGAAAAAAAAAUUACAAAUAAUUAUAUAUAACACAUGGACAUUCGGGCUGCAAACCACUGAACUAUAUAAAGUCGGAUCAAGUAAAUCAGCCGAAUGUUCUCGUCUGUUUUUUUUUGUGCACUUUCAAAUGAAUGAACGACUUUUCACUCGGCUAGUUUAAAUGCCAAUAUUUCAACUCUCGGUGAUGAUUUGAAUUUCUAUCUCACUCAUUUUCCUUAUGUGCGCAAUUGAAGAAAUACCCUGUGGAUGGUCAACUUCAUAUAACAGUUUCACCUCCCAAACCUACCCAUGGACCGAUAGACCGAUAAAAAAAAUAUAUUGCACUUUGUUUUAAGUCCUCUAUAAAAUGUUCAAGUAUCAUAAAAAUCGGGGAAUGACCCUAUCUAUAGUGUUCCUUGUCAGUGCUACCAGGGAAAAAAUAUAAUAGAAUACAUAAUUCGAAUUUACCGAAUCAAUUAAUCUUUCGGAAACCGUCGAACGGAAGUCUAGACACUAAGAAUCAUCGGAAUGAAUAAAAAAAAUUCCUCUAUGAUGCUUGAUUAAUGGGCGCCAUGUCGGUCAAGAUUUUCCACUAGUUUAUCCUGUAUCUGUACGUGGGAUACAACUCCUGGAGUACAAUGCGAUAUAAUUGGAGAAGAAGUCCGAAUAAGGUAUACAUGAAAAAAAAACCUUAGAAUCAAUGAUACAGUAUAUUUAAAACAAAUAUAUUAAUAAACUCAUUUAAAGUUUUUCUUCCCGCAACCAAACUACCAAAAAAUUCACAUAAAGCAAGGUCUCCUUUUGGAGUAUUAAACGAAUUCACUUUAUUAUUUUUAGAAAAAUGCACUGAUGCAUUCACAUUGACGUAAAUGUAGUGUUUAUUAAUUUAAUUUCUAGUUCUUUUUUCAUUUCUUUGCAAAACAAUAUGGCAAAUCAGCGAUUCUCUUAUCUUCGCGAUUCAGGUUGUAAUAACAUUAUCAUAAAACGAGACCCGAUAAAGAAUAUCAGGAACUGCUGUCAUAUAAAAGCGAUCGCAUUUAUAAAUUUUUAUUCAUAUUGAAGUACAUCGAUUUUUUUUUUCUAAAAAAAAAUCAACGAAUUAUUCUCUGCAUUAUGAAGAUUAUCUCCAUUUUCGUGAUCAUUGGGAUGGUUUUGAUGGCUGUUAAUGGACAGCGUUUUUGCCGAGGUCGAGGAGGAGUGUGUUCGACCCCUCGCCAAUGUUGUGCUCGUCUUUGCCGCAUGGGUCGCUGUCUAUAAAUCCUUCCAGACGUGUCUCUGCUAGUCUAAUGUGUAGUGAAAGACUAUCUACACGGUAACAUCCAUAUAGCUAAGACGAUGGAAAAUACCAGCUCUCAAGGACUCUAAUGAUUUUCCAUUAAUAUUAAUAAAUGCUAAAUCAAUACUAACCAAUUUGAUGAAAAUUUCAAAAACCCAGACUGUUCGUUACUGUUGUUCCCGUUAAUGGGACAGAUGCAGAAAAUCGCUUCAAGGAUUUUAGUACCAACCGACGAAAAACCACAUUAAUCAAGGGAAAAAUCAAGGAAUAAAAAACCAUGUAACUGAAAAUACGUUUUUGCAGUGACAACCGACUUUUAGCAACGAGGAAGUGCUGAACUCCAACCCGAGAACGAAAUUCUUAUAAUCAAUACGUUAAUUAUUUCUUAGAUCUAUAAUCCGUUUAAAAAACUGAGGGAUACAGAGUUUCAUACCUAUAGCAGGAAUUAAUGCCAGUGGAUGAACAAAAAAACAAAAUAUUUCCGAUACUAGAAAAAGACGUGCUCAUGUCUCGCUCUUGAGGGUUCAGUGGAAGUUAUACCUUAGAAGUCGAAAAUGAAAAGAAUAUACUUUAGAUACUUAUUUUGGCUGAAUAUGAAAUUUUUGUUCAUUAUUUUAAUUGUACAAUUUUCUGAGUAAAUAAUUUUUUACAAUUUUAUUGUCUCGCUGACUUCCUAAAUAAAGUCGUAGUGUUUUCCAUGAUCAUA